rnacentral:rRNA from 1 species
GAUGAACGCUGGCGGCGUGCCUAAUACAUGCAAGUCGAGCGAACAGACGAGGAGCUUGCUCCUCUGACGUUAGCGGCGGACGGGUGAGUAACACGUGGAUAACCUACCUAUAAGACUGGGAUAACUUCGGGAAACCGGAGCUAAUACCGGAUAAUAUAUUGAACCGCAUGGUUCAAUAGUGAAAGACGGUUUUGCUGUCACUUAUAGAUGGAUCCGCGCCGCAUUAGCUAGUUGGUAAGGUAACGGCUUACCAAGGCAACGAUGCGUAGCCGACCUGAGAGGGGCGAGGUCCCCUUAGGAGUCGGUAAACGGGCCAGCGACGUAGGGGGGGCAACAGUAGGGAAUCUCCGCAAAUGGGCAAAAGCGUUUGGAAUCAAGCCAGCGAUAGUGAUGUGGGUCUUGGGUAAGUAAAACCGCUGAAUACGGAAAGAACAAAGUUUGAAGAAACCCUCCAUGUCUUGAAGUAACCCAAUCAGAAAGCCGCCGUUAAAUCCUG